GGGGAAUAUUGCACAAUGGGCGAAAGCCUGAUGCAGCAACGCCGCGUGAGUGAUGAAGGUCUUCGGAUUGUAAAGCUCUGUCCUUUGGGACGAUAAUGACGGUACCAAAGGAGGAAGCCACGGCUAACUACGUGCCAGCAGCCGCGGUAAUACGUAGGUGGCGAGCGUUGUCCGGAUUUACUGGGCGUAAAGGGUGCGUAGGCGGAUGUUUAAGUGAGAUGUGAAAUACCCGGGCUUAACUUGGGUGCUGCAUUUCAAACUGGAUAUCUAGAGUGCAGGAGAGGAGAAUGGAAUUCCUAGUGUAGCGGUGAAAUGCGUAGAGAUUAGGAAGAACACCAGUGGCGAAGGCGAUUCUCUGGACUGUAACUGACGCUGAGGCACGAAAGCGUGGGUAGCAAACAGGAUUAGAUACCCUGGUAGUCCACGCCGUAAACGAUGAGUACUAGGUGUAGGAGGUAUCGACCCCUUCUGUGCCGCAGUAAACACAUUAAGUACUCCGCCUGGGAAGUACGAUCGCAAGAUUAAAACUCUAAAGUGAAUUGACGGGGGUC
rnacentral:rRNA from 1 species